UACGAAGGGGGCUAGCGUUGCUCGGAAUCACUGGGCGUAAAGGGUGCGUAGGCGGGUCUUUUAAGUCAGGGGUAAAUCCAUGGAGCUCAACUCCAGAACUGCCUUUGAUACUGAGGAUCUUGAGUUCGGGAGAGGUGAGUGGAACUGCGAGUGUAGAGGUGAAAUUCGUAGAUAUUCGCAAGAACACCAGUGGCGAAGGCGGCUCACUGGCCCGAUACUGACGCUGAGGCGCGAAAGCGUGGGGAGCAAACAGG
rnacentral:rRNA from 1 species